UGUAACACUAUGACGAAGAAAGUAGUGACUAAAGAAAUAAUCAAAGAGAUUUUUGCCUUGGCUGAAAGCAAGAAAUUAUUUUUAGUUAUGAAGUUCCCUUCUGAGUGGCAACACUGAACAAAAUGUAAAGUGAACUUGUUUGCUUAUUUAUUAACAAACAUUUGUAGAGGAAAACAUUGUUCCACCGUUUAUUAACAAACAAUUUGUAGGGGCGAACAUUGUUCGCCCGUAAAAAACAUUUACAGUAGGUGUUGACGGUAGUCACCGUUAUAUGACAACAGAGUGUUUGCUCAGUGCAAAAAUGUGGGUGGUACCACGGAUUUAAUUAUUCGUCCCAGAG
rnacentral:ncRNA from 1 species